GAUGAACGCUAGCUACAGGCUUAACACAUGCAAGUCGAGGGGCAGCAUGGUCUUAGCUUGCUAAGGCCGAUGGCGACCGGCGCACGGGUGAGUAACACGUAUCCAACCUGCCGUCUACUCUUGGACAGCCUUCUGAAAGGAAGAUUAAUACAAGAUGGCAUCAUGAGUCCGCAUGUUCACAUGAUUAAAGGUAUUCCGGUAGACGAUGGGGAUGCGUUCCAUUAGAUAGUAGGCGGGGUAACGGCCCACCUAGUCUUCGAUGGAUAGGGGUUCUGAGAGGAAGGGUCCCCCACAUUGGAACUGAGACACGGUCCAAACUCCUACGGGAGGCAGCAGUAGGGAAUCUUCGGCAAUGGGGGCAACCCUGACCGAGCAACGCCGCGUGAGUGAAGAAGGUUUUCGGAUCGUAAAGCUCUGUUGUAAGUCAAGGAGCGGGUGUGAGAGU
rnacentral:rRNA from 1 species